AUUGAACGCUGGCGGCAUGCUUUACACAUGCAAGUCGGACGGCAGCGGGGGUGCUUGCACCUGCCGGCGAGUGGCGAACGGGUGAGUAACAUAUUGGAAUGUACCGAGUAGUGGGGGAUAACCAAUCGAAAAAUUGGCUAAUAUCGCAUACGUCCUGAGGGAGAAAGCAGGGGAUCUUCGGACCUUGCGCUAUUUGAGCAGCCAAUAUCUGAUUAGCUAGUUGGUGGGGUAAAGGCCCACCAAGGCGACGAUCAGUAGCGGGUCUGAGAGGAUGAUCCGCCACACUGGGACUGAGACACGGCCCAGACUCCUACGGGAGGCAGCAGUGGGGAAUUUUGGACAAUGGGGGCAACCCUGAUCCAGCCAUGCCGCGUGUCUGAAGAAGGCCUUCGGGUUGUAAAGGACUUCUGUUAGGGAAGAAAAGGGAAGUGCUAAUACCACUUUUUGCUGACGGACCUAAAGAA
rnacentral:rRNA from 1 species